rnacentral:lncRNA from 10 species
AGGCGGGAAAUGGAGGAACAGACGUGGCUUACGAGUUCGAGUCCCAUUCCCGAAAAGGCUGUUUGUCAACCUCCUGAAUAGCAUAAUACAAAGUUUAAAUAGGGUAUGCCUUAGAAGGGAUUCGCGAGAGUCCCUGGCUUAGACUCGACUUUUAUGCUCUCUGGUUGUUCUGUUUGCCAAGGAAUGGUGGAAAGCGCCAGAUAUUGGGGCCACAAAGGGAAAACGAUACCAUUUUGGCUGGUUUUUAUUUAGGAGCCAUUUCGGUUUUACCAACUCAGACUGAGAUUGUGGCUGAGUUUGAUAAGUGCAGACUGCUAUUCUUUCUUAAGACCUCUCCCUUUGGAGCACAUUAAAAGUGGAGAGAACUGCUAUACCUAGGCACUCCAGGUAGAAGACGUAUCAGUUGAAUAUUGACUGCAAAACAGGCGUGGAAGCACUAAUUGCAGACCCUGUUGUCAAACCCUUUAACAGGAAUCCCCUUCUGUGUUUUCAGUUGUUUUAUGCAACAUUCAGGGAGGUCCUGCCAUGUGCCAAGCACUGCGAUUGGGAUCUAGCAGUGAAUAAAACAAGAUAUAUUGUCCUUUCCUUCAUGGAUCUUACAAAUACAGGUUAAUUUACCUCCCAUUUGUUUCCUGAUAGAUACCAACUAGCCCACAGGCCUGGCACAGAGGAGGUAGUCAAUGUUGGAAUGAAUAGGGAUAUUUACCUGAAAACUGCACAUGCAGACUGUCACCUGCCACUAUUUCCUCCCUUCAGAUGGGUGAAGGAUGCCCUACUUUCAAGUCAUCCUAAAAAGGAAGACAAGCAAACUUAGUGAUCUAGUACACAGAAUAUA